ACAAUCGUUGUUGAUAGAUUUGUUGUUAGCAAAUCAAAACAAUUUCAUAUAUUCGCAUACUUUCAAAACAUGUGUAGUGUAAGUUAUUUAAUUAUUAAAUAAACGUAAUCAAAGGAAUUAUUUAUUUUCGUUAUGUUUGUCUAUUUAUUUAAUUUAUCGAUUCAGAGGCUGGAUUGUGAAUAAAUUAUUUGUUUUAUUUGUUAUUUGACUUAAAGAAAACGAAUUCUUUUUUUUUCUACUCUAAUAUGAGUAUUUAUUAAUGAAACGAAGCAGGAAUUUAUAGGAAACAAAGGGGUUGUUCAGUGAGAAAAUAUUUGGAAACCUCUAGAAUAAAGGAACAAGUUACAUAAAGUAUUCCACCAAAAAAAUAAAAAGUUGAAAUGUCGGAAAAUAACUACAAAAAACGAGUUUUUACACCUCGAACUGGUCUGUUUUACAAAAAAUUCUAUUCAAUUUAUUUCGUUUGUUGUUUAGUUGGUAAAUUUUUGGAGAAAUCUGGAAUAAAAAAAUAAGUUUCCUAAAAUAUUCCACCCAAAAAAUUAAAAUGGCGAGAAAAAAACUGCAAAAAUCGAGUUUGUACAUUUUGAACUGGCCUAUUAUUAAAAAAAUUCUGUUCAAUUUAUCUGGUUUGUUGAUUUGAGGGCUUGUUUAGUGAAAAAUGUUUGGAAAUCUCUGGAAUAAGGGAAACAAUGCCCUAAAAUAUUCCACCAAAAACUCAAAAAGUUGAAAUAUCUACAAAAAUCCGGUUUUUACAACUCGAACUGCCCUUUUUUUACAAAAAAUUCUAUUCAAUUUAUUUGUUUUGAUGAUUUGGGGGGUUGUUUAGUGAGAAAAUGUCUGUAAAUCUCUGAAAUAAUUUUCCAUCAAAGCAAUAAAAAGUUGAAAUGAAAAAAAGUGAGUUUUAAUAUCCUAAACUGGCCUAUUCUACUAAUCAGAAUUUUAGUGUUCCAAAAUAUUCCACCAAAACAAUAAAAAAUUUUCACAGCGCAAUAUUAAAUCGAAUUGAAUUUGGUUUACCCAAAUAUUCCACCAAUAAAAACGUAACCUGGCCUAUUUUACACAACAUUUAAUGGAAUUUACGUGUUUCAAUUAUUUAAAGGGAAAGCAUCAUUCAAAAAAUUCUAAAAUAAAAAUUUUGGUUUCCCAAAAUAUUCCACCAAAACAUCAAAAAAAUUCAUACUUUCAUUAGAAAAUCCACUUUUUUUAGUUUAAAACCAUAAUUUUAUCGAUUUUAAUAAUCCAUUUUUCACCAUAUUAUUUAAACUACUUCAGAAUAGAUAAAAGAGAAUCAAUAUCGGAAGAAUUAUAACAAAUGUUGGAUCAGAAAACGAUAAACAAUAAAAAUUAAUUUACUACAUGCAAAAUAGAACAUUUUUUGUCAUUAUUUUCGAAACUAACACCCUGUGUACGGUUUUGUUUAGGAAAAAUUGAAUAAUUUUUCGAUUUUUUAAAGGAAAUAUUAAAAUGGGCACAAUUACGAGAAACGCAGACAUUUUUUCGUUAAAAUUUAAGAAAAACACGUACAUGAUAAUAACAAUAAUAAUAAUAAUAAUGCUACAAAUCCUAAUGAUUCUAUAUAUUAUACUAUUCAGCGUUGAAUGGUAGGAUGGGUGCAAUGUUCCUAGAAACAAAAAUUUUUGUCAUCUUUAAAUAACUAUUAAAGAAAACAAAAUUAAACAAAAAGAAAAGAUUUUGUGCUGAAAAUAUGAAUGGAUUUGUAUAAGUAAACGUCAAAAUCUUUUUUGUACCUUUUGAUCGUUCAUUAUAAAUUCAGUACUGAAACUGCAAUAUAAUUAAAAUUUGGCAACGUUGUAGAAGAGAUUCAUUCGCGUCUGGAAACAGAGUGACGUCACACACCGCCAUUGUUAUCGUAGGUCAUUGACCACUUUCCAAACAAGGCACCAUCGAAAAAAAAUUGAAAUACGACGUAACCUCCCAAAAAAAAAUACGAGGUACCGUCUAAAACAAAUUGCAAUACGAGGUAUCAUCGUUAACAAAUUGAAAUACGACGUAAUACCAUGAAAAAUACGAGGUAUUGUCGAAAACAAAUUGAAAUACGACGUUACAUCAAAAAAAA